UGGGGCGUCGCCAAGUGGUAAGGCAGCGGCUUUUGAUGCCGCCAUGCGCAGGUUCGAACCCUGCCGCCCCCAGCCA
rnacentral:tRNA from 1 species